rnacentral:rRNA from 1 species
AUUGAACGCUGGCGGCAGGCUUAACACAUGCAAGUCGAGCGAGCGGCGGACGGGUGAGUAAUGUCUGGGAAACUGCCUGAUGGAGGGGGAUAACUCCUGGAAACGGUAGCUAAUACCGCAUACCAUCAGAUGUGCCCAGAUGGGAUUAGCUAGUAGGUGGGGUAAUGGCUCCCCUAGGCGACGAUCCCUAGCUGGUCUGAGAGGAUGCACAGCAACACUGGAACUGAGACACGGUCCAGACUCCUACGGUAGGCAGCAGUGGGGAAUAUUUGACAAUGGGCGCAAGCCUGGUGCAGCCAUGCCGCGUGUGUGAAGAAGGCCUUCGGGUUGUAAAGCACUUUCAGCGAGGAGGCGGUACUCGCAGAAGAAGCACCGGCUAACUCCGUGCCAGCAGCCGCGGUAAUAC